GGGAGGAUUCAAGACUGCCAGAGUCUUGCUCCUGAAAACUGACAUUUGAAGAGCAAAUACACUGAAUAUCUUCUCCUCAGCCUUGGGAAUUUAAAGUGAAGACUUACUAGAGAAAAGGCCCAAAGAAGCAUGUAGAUGCACAUUCCGAGGGACCAGAAAAGAAUGAGAAAGCUGAUGUGCAUGAAAAGAAGAUGCAGGCUGAGACGGGGUAAAUAGCUCUCCUUAUGCAUUCUGCUGAUGGCUCCUGUCCACUGUCCUCUCGGCUGAAAUAAAAAAGACUAUUUACACCACAACAAUCAGAUUUGUGUGGUGUACCUCAAAGUGAUUUCUGGACUGGUGAUUCUCUAACAGAUUUGCCCUGCAGUAUCAUAGCAUGAGAUGAAGAAUAAGUCUGUUGAUGUGCACCAAGGUGAAUAAAUGCAGAAACAUGUGUUGAAAUAAGGAAAAAUUCAAAUGAUUGAAAGAGGAUAAAUAAUUUGAAAAAUGUGAACAGUCACUUUUGAAUCAUCUGGAGGAAGGAACCUAUGAGAAGACCCAAGAAAAUAAAGAGAUGACAAUAACUAACAUCCUUGACAAUGUUCCUGAGCUGUGAAUCACCACUACUUGUACCAGCCCUUCUAGGGAUACAUUAUUGGGAGAAGGCGUAUUUGUGAGGCAUUCAACAAAUUGAAUGACAAGAACUAUGAGUUAGAAGGAUUAAUCUGGUGACACAGUGUGGAAUUUGAUGAGUAGGAAAGGAACUGGAGACAAAGGACAAGUUAGGAGUAAUGCAUGAAAAUCUACAGAGAAGUAGGGUUCCUUCUUCUGUUGCUACUAUAGAAAUAGCCAGAGAAGAAGGAUAGCUGACUAGUUUGCAACCACUAUGUUACCUGAAAUGGCUAGAGGAGUCGCAGCCUUCCCUCAUCUUGGAUCAUUCUCCACUGAGAAGAAUCUCAAACUGAUGGAAAUCAGGAACCACUUUGCUGCUGCAGUCAACCUUGGAAAGGGUGAAAUGAACCUCACCUGUACAGACAAGCAAGUAAUCCUUGCCUGGUUUUCCCAUCCUUCCAGUGCACUGAGAGUCUGAAACGUCUUCGGCCACUGAAAUUGUUUUCACUCUAUUGGGUCCCAAGAAGGUAGGAAACUGUGGAAAAUAAAUAUAUUUUGUCUUUGA